UCACUACUGCACUUGACUAGUCUUU
rnacentral:piRNA from 4 species